CAAUUAUGGAACCCUAAAAAGUUCAGAAUUUUUCCCAGUUUUUGGCAUAGCUUUAUUUUUAUUACUUUCUAUUUUUUUCAGCAUUCUACCUUUAUUUUGCAAUUUUUAUUUUCUUUUCCAGUCAAUCUUUCAGCACUUAAUUAAUUUUUCACACAAUAGUUUCUACACCGGAAACUAUUGUGUAUCUUUUGCUGGGUCUAACCUUACGUCAGAUCCUAGAUUUUUAUUCCUUCACCUUUUAUUUUCUUGUCCG
rnacentral:lncRNA from 1 species